GCUUGCUAUCUGCUGACGAGCGGCGGACGGGUGCGUAACACGUAGGAAUCUGCCCGGUAGGGGGGGAUAGCCCGGAGAAAUCCGGAUUAAUACCGCAUACGCCUUAUGAGGGAAAGCAGGGGAUCUUCGGACCUUGCGCUAUCGGAUGAGCCUGCGUCGGAUUAGCUGGUUGGUGGGGUAAAGGCCUACCAAGGCGACGAUCCGUAGCUGGUCUGAGAGGAUGAUCAGCCACACUGGGACUGAGACACGGCCCACACUCCUACGGGAGGCAGCAGUGGGGAAUAUUGCACAAUGGGCGCAAGCCUGAUGCAGCCAUGCCGCGUGUGUGAAGAAGGCCCUAGGGUUGUAAAGCACUUUCAGCGAGGAGGAAAGGUUCAAGGUUAAUACCCUUGAGCUGUGACGUUACUCGCAGAAGAAGCACCGGCUAACUCCGUGCCAGCAGCCGCGGUAAUACGGAGGGUGCGAGCGUUAAUCGGAAUUACUGGGCGUAAAGCGUGCGUAGGCGGCUUGUUAAGUUGGAUGUGAAAGCCCCGGGCUCAACCUGGGAACUGCACCCAAAACUGGCAAGCUGGAGUGCGGAAGAGGAGUGUGGAAUUUCCUGUGUAGCGGUGAAAUGCGUAUAUAUAGGAAGGAACACCAGUGGCGAAGGCGACACUCUGGUCUGACACUGACGCUGAGGUACGAAAGCGUGGGGAGCAAACAGGACUAGAUACCCUGGUAGUCCACGCCGUAAACGAUGUCUACUAGUCGUCG
rnacentral:rRNA from 1 species